CUGUCCGUGGCAGGGGGUUGGAACUGGAUGAGCUUUAAGGUCCCUUCCAACCAAAACUAUUCUAUAUGGUCCUAUGAGACAUCAUCCAAAAGACAGAGCCAGGCUCUUCGCAGCAGUGUGUGGUGGGAGGACAAGCGUAGGAUGAAACAGGAGAGGAUCAGACUGGGUAUCAGGAGAAGCAUUUUUGGCCCAAGGACACCAGUUAGUGGAGUUUGCUGCCCAGAGAGUUUGUGUAGUUUCUAUGCUUGGACGUUUUCAAGACCAGAGUGUAUAAAUGUGAACACUGCUGUGAUCUCAGAGAUGCAGCUUGGAGUAUCUCUGGACUGGAGACCUGUCCAAGGUGCCUUCUGACCUGAAGUCUGUGCUGGUGUGAAGUGGGAGAAGAGGCCAAAGGGACAUGCCGCUUCUGGUGCUUUAUUCUUGCCUGUGUCCCUGUGAGCUUGGGGGAAGGUCACUGGUAUUGAAGCCUGGUUUAUUUUCUUGUCUCGCUUUGGAUGAGUGGGAGAGGCAGGAUUUGGAAAUACUUAUGCAACCUGCCCUGUUUGUAUGAUGCUUGCACCGAGCUGGUGACACUUCUAUAGCCUUGGAGGGUUAGAAGUGUGAAUCAGAGGCUGUUUUCCUCCACUCAUGCUCCUAUAGAAACCUGAGAGAUGUGUAAAGUCCCUGUUCCAAGUGCUUUUGUGGUGGUGUGCUGCAACCUUCCCGCCGGUCCAGCCUACCAGCCCUUGCCUAGCUCUGCAGGAGUGAGUCAGCUCAAUCAACAGCAUCUCCUCACCCAGGCUUCAGGACAUGGAGGCCCUUAUCCCAACUGUGCCCUUCUAACAGUUCAACUGCCAGAGCGAUGCUGUGUGGUUCCUGACCUCCUGCACC